rfam:Homo sapiens chromosome X, GRCh38 reference primary assembly.
GCUGGGCAUUGUGACGUGCACCUGUAGUCCCAGCUACUUGGGAGGCUGAGGUGGGAGGAUUGCUUGAGCCUGGGAGGUGGAGGUUGCAAUGAGCCAUAAUCACACCAUUGCACUCCAGCCUAGGCAACAGAGUGACACUGUGUAAAAAAAAAAAAAAAAAGAAGCAUGCUUCUAAUACUUUAUUAAUUUAUUUAUUUUGAGGCAGAGUUUUGCUCUGUUACUCAGGCUGGAGUGCAGUGGUGUGAUCAUGGCUCACUGCAACCUCCACCUCCCAGGCUCAAGCAAUCCUCCCAUCUCAG